GAUGAACGCUGGCGGCGCGCCUAACACAUGCAAGUCGAACGGUUAAAGCACCUUUUAGGUGUGUAUAAAGUGGCGAACGGCUGAGUAACACGUGGGCAACCUGCCCUCCUCUUGGGGAUAGCCUCGGGAAACCGAGGAUAAUACCCGAUACUUCAAUGUGGCCGCAUGACGACAUUGAGAAAGCUUUUGCGGAGAAGGAUGGGCCCGCGGCCUGUUAGCUUGUUGGUGGGGUAGAGGCCUACCAAGGCAAUGAUGGGUAGCUGGGUUGAGAGACCGACCAGCCAGAUUGGGACUGAGACACGGCCCAGACUCCUACGGGAGGCAGCAGUGGGGAAUCUUGCACAAUGGGCGAAAGCCUGAUGCAGCGACGCCGCGUGCGGGAAGAAGGCCUUCGGGUUGUAAACCGCUUUCAGCAGGGACGAGGCGAAAGUGACGGUACCUGCAGAAGAAGCCCCGGCUAACUACGUGCCAGCAGCCGCGGUAAUACGUAGGGGGCAAGCGUUAUCCGGAUUCAUUGGGCGUAAAGCGCUCGUAGGCGGUCUGUUAGGUCGGGAGUUAAAUCCGGAGGCUCAACCUCCGCCCGCUCCCGAUACCGGCAGACUUGAGUUUGGUAGGGGAAGGUGGAAUUCCUAGUGUAGCGGUGGAAUGCGCAGAUAUUAGGAAGAACACCAGUGGCGAAGGCGGCCUUCUGGGCCAUAACUGACGCUGGGGAGCGAAAGCUAGGGGAGCAAACAGG
rnacentral:rRNA from 1 species